rnacentral:rRNA from 1 species
UGGGGAAUAUUGGACAAUGGGCGAAAGCCUGAUCCAGCCAUGCCGCGUGUGUGAAGAAGGUCCUCGGAUUGUAAAGCACUCUAAGUUGGGAGGAAGGGCAGUAAGCGAAUACCUUGCUGUUUUGACGUUACCGACAGAAUAAGCACCGGCUAACUCUGUGCCAGCAGCCGCGGUAAUACAGAGGGUGCAAGCGUUAAUCGGAAUUACUGGGCGUAAAGCGCGCGUAGGUGGUUCGUUAAGUUGAAUGUGAAAGCCCCGGGCUCAACCUGGGAACUGCAUCCAAAACUGGCGAGCUAGAGUAGGGCAGAGGGUGGUGGAAUUUCCUGUGUAGCGGUGAAAUGCGUAAAUAUAGGAAGGAACACCAGUGGCGAAGGCGACCACCUGGGCUCAUACUGACACUGAGGUGCGAAAGCGUGGGGAGCAAACAGG